AUGGGUUAGGUAAAUGUUUCAUGAUAAUGGGUUAGGUAAAUGUUUCAUGAUAAGAAUUUCAUGUCUUUUGUAUUAAAGAAUUAAAUGGAUGAAAUAUGAAGUUUUAUUAAAAGAAAAAGGGGUGAAAAGAACAAAGUUUUGUCCAUCUUUGUUCAUCAUAGCUGAAAGUUAGAGAAGAGAAAGGAGAGGAGAAAGCUCUUGAGUAUUUGGUCAUUAGGAGGAGGAAAAUUGAAGGUAAUCCCCAACCAUAGUGGGCUUGGAGAUGUGAGGGAAUUCGGAGUGGCCACCCAUUCUGAAAGUUUGAUUUUCUUCUGGUGAACUGGACAUCCUUUUAAUUACGUUUGAGGUUUUGGGCUUUUAAAUGUAAUAAGGCCGCUUAUUUAUUUUUGAUGGUUUUUAAUAUGUAUUACUAAGAUAGGUAAUACUUAUUUUAACUGUUGAAAUUGGAUAGCUUUAGGGCGCGUUUUCAAAAACAACAGUUGAUUUCAAAAUAACACGACAACAAGCAAAGCUUCCGCAAUGAAA